rnacentral:rRNA from 1 species
UACGUAGGGAGCAAGCGUUAUCCGGAAUUACUGGGUGUAAAGGGAGUGUAGGCGGGAUUACAAGUCAGAUGUGAAAACUGUGGGCUCAACUCACAGAUUGCAUUUGAAACUGUAGUUCUUGAGUGAAGUAGAGGUAAGUGGAAUUCCUAGUGUAGCGGUGAAAUGCGUAGAUAUUAGGAGGAACAUCAGUGGCGAAGGCGACUUACUGGGCUUUAACUGACGCUGAGGCUCGAAAGCGUGGGGAGCAAACAGG